UUUCCUAUGUUGGAAAGAAUUUACGAUCUCAGUUGCUUUUCCUUUCUUUUUUCUUUUUGCCAGCUUCCUCCUCCUCCUCAUGCAAUAAAGAUCAAUUUGUCUGGGAGCCACUUCUUUUUGAUGAGAGACCGUUUCUGGGAGAGGUCUCGGGCUUCAAGGAGCACAUACAAUUUUGUUGCAGAUUUGGAGAGUCAGGGACUCUUGUCUCAGAAGAGUGGGGGCCCUCGGGAAAAGGGGGGCCCUGAUGAAGCAACGGAACAACAGAGGCCCAGGAAGAGCCAAACUAAUAGAAACUAAGGACGGAGAAAAAUGAAUGAUGGUAUAAAUUGGGCAAACGUGACUUUACACCCUCUCAAGUCCUUUUGUACACCCCAGAUAUGCUGCUCAGUACAUCGUUCUUUCCUUCAUCCUUCAUGACACCCCCUCCUGAUCAUCACUUUCAGGAAAGAUGUAGAGACAAUGGAUCAUCAAAAAUAAGAGCAACAACAUGGAUGGAAUGAGUGAGGGGAACUUACGGGAAGCAAACAAAGGCAUGAAGCUAACAGAGGAGUUAGAAUGAGAAACAUUGUUCUUUCCAGUUCAAUACAAUCAAAUCUCAGAGUGGAUCUGGUAGUUGGCCUGUGUUUUUCACUUCCUAAAAAAAUAUAGGAUAAAAGCAACCACUUUGCUUAUAUCCAGAUUCCUUACUUCCAUGUAAAUAAUGGAGGGGUUAGGAAAUAAGAGUGAAAAUCUCCGUAGAUGAGGAAAUGAAGGGGAUUGGCAAGAUGUGGAAUCAGACGGUUAAUCAACAGAGGAAGGCUCCAAGCCGCGAGGAGGGGAGGGACCACAAAAGAAGGCUCCACAGGGGUGUGGUAUCCAGGACCAAGGAGCCCUGUCCCCACUCUCCAGCACCCCAGGCCACUUUCAUCUCAAGGGUCUACACUCAGUGAAAUGCUUUUUCGGCUCCUGUCUCCCCAUCAGUGUAUCAAUGUAUCCCCAGGGCAGUUUCUAACACAUAGUAGAUGGUCCAUCAGUGCUUGUUGGACUUGGGUCUAAGGGCCUUGGAUGGAAGAACCAGUACAAGGAAAACACAUCGUGUGAGAUGGAGAUGAUGAAAAACAGUAGUAAGGGGCAAAAGGAAAGACAUCUUUCAGGUGUUGGUUCAGAUCUUUCCUGAGCCUUCUAGGAUGGAGUGCUCCUCCUGUGGGUUUCCCCAGCAACAUGUGCUUCCUUCACUGCAGUGCACAGAGGCCUGAUGGGUAACUGCCUGUCUCUCUUCCCCCGUGAUCUUCAGGCUUUGAGCAGAUGGUGGGUGUGCCCAUCUGGCUCAUGAUGAUGUUCUAGAAUCUAGCAUGGUGCCUGGUUUAUUGUGGUUGUUCAAUAUAUAUUAUUUUUUUUUAAAGAUUUUAUUUUUAUUUUUUGAGAGACAGAGAGAGAGAGCACAAGUUGGGGGGAGGCAUAGAGGGAGAGGGAGAAGCAGACUCCCCGCUAAGCAGGGAGCCCAACGCCAGCUUCAUCCCAGGACCCCUGGAUCAUGACCUGAGCUGAAAGCAGAUGUUUGACUGAGCCACCCAGGACCCCCCCACUAUUUUGAAUGAGUGAGAAAAUGAGACCAAAGUUAAAGGAAGAGUCUCAUGAAGAAAUAAAGAAAUUUGUUUUAAAAAUGACAGAGGGCAUGAAAAGAUGUUUAGACACCUCUGAAUAAAGAAAUUUAAUUUGAAAAAAAUAAAGACUCUAUAGUGAGAAACGGGGAAGGACACUAUGAGAGCAAUGAUAAUGUGAUAUGAUCUAGAAUUUUGGUUUCCUUAUCUAUAAAAUGAAAUUAAUUAUCACACCUCCUUUUUGUAAGGGUUAAAUGACACCGUGUGUGAAGUGUUGAGUAUUUUGUGGCCUCUACAAUUAAGACUGUUAGGUUGUAAGUGAUAGAAGCCCAGUGUGAAGUUAUUUAUGAGAAAGAAAGAGGACAUUGUUUUACUGGCUUAUGUACCCAAGCCAAGAGGAGGGCAGGGAGGGGGCAGCAUGAGUACUGUGGUGAACCCCAGAUUCCCUUGGUGUGUUGGACUCAUCCUUUCCAACUCCAGCUGCUCCAGCUGUCUUUAGAAACCUGCCACUGUGG
rnacentral:lncRNA from 1 species